UACGAAGGGGGCGAGCGUUGGUCGGAUUUACUGGGCGUAAAGGGCGCGCAGGCGGCGAGUUUUGUCAGGCGUGAAAGCCCCGGGCUCAACCUGGGAAUUGCGCUUGAAACGGGCUUGCUAGAGAUCGGGAGAGGAGAGUGGAAUUCCCAGUGUAGAGGUGAAAUUCGUAGACAUUGGGAAGAACACCGGUGGCGAAGGCGGCUCUCUGGACCGAUACUGACGCUGAGGCGCGAAAGCGUGGGGAGCAAACAGG
rnacentral:rRNA from 1 species